rnacentral:rRNA from 1 species
GUACACGAGCGGCGAACGGGUGAGUAACACGUGGGUAAUCUGCCCUGCACUCUGGGAUAAGCCCGGGAAACUGGGUCUAAUACCGGAUAUGACCACUUCACGCAUGUGUUGUGGUGGAAAGUUCCGGCGGUGCAGGAUGAACCCGCGGCCUAUCAGCUUGUUGGUGGGGUAAUGGCCUACCAAGGCGACGACGGGUAGCCGGCCUGAGAGGGCGACCGGCCACACUGGGACUGAGACACGGCCCAGACUCCUACGGGAGGCAGCAGUGGGGAAUAUUGCACAAUGGGCGAAAGCCUGAUGCAGCGACGCCGCGUGAGGGAUGACGGCCUUCGGGUUGUAAACCUCUUUCAGCAGGGACGAAGCGCAAGUGACGGUACCUGCAGAAGAAGCACCGGCUAACUACGUGCCAGCAGCCGCGGUAAUACGUAGGGUGCGAGCGUUGUCCGGAAUUAUUGGGCGUAAAGAGCUCGUAGGCGGUUUGUUGCGUCGGUCGUGAAAACCUGGGGCUUAACCCUGGGCCUGCGACCGAUACGGGCAGACUUGAGUUCGGUAGGGGAGACUGGAAUUCCUGGUGUAGCGGUGAAAUGCGCAGAUAUCAGGAGGAACACCGGUGGCGAAGGCGGGUCUCUGGGCCGAUACUGACGCUGAGGAGCGAAAGCGUGGGGAGCGAACAGGAUUAGAUACCCUGGUAGUCCACGCCGUAAACGGUG